GAGAACUACUAGCCAUUGCUUAAAACUCAAAGGACUUGGCGGUGCCCUAAACCCGCCUAGAGGAGCCUGUUCUAUAAUGAGAAACCCCGAUAUACUCAACCCUGUCUUGCCAAUACAGCCUAUAUACCACCAUCGUCAGCACACCUUAAAAAAGACAAAAAGUAAGCAAAACUACUUUCCAUAAAAACAUUAGGUCAAGGUGUAGCACAUGAAAGGGAAAUAAAUGGGCUACAUUCACUAAUUUAGAGAAUUACAAAUCACAUUAUGAAAUUAAAGUGUUUGAAGGAGGAUUUAGUAGUAAAUUAAGAAUACAGUGCUUAAUUGAAUUAGGCAAUAGGGCGCACACACAUCGCCUGUCACCCUCCUCAACUCAAUUUAUUAAUAUACCUAAUAAUUCAUUUAAACAAAGAGGAGAAAAGUCGUAACACAGUAAGUGUACUGGAAAGUGCACUUG
rnacentral:ncRNA from 1 species